AUGAAAACUGUAAUUUUAUUUGAUUUUUUAAAAAGUAUUUUUCCAUAGAGGCUUUUUUGUUGUUGUGGGAAGGAAGGGGCAUUUUCAGUAACAACAUGCUUAAUGGUCUGUUUUCAAGCCAUUAGUUUUGCAGUAUUUUUAACCCAGUGGACAUCUCUUAGUUUUAGAUCAUGCUGCAAACCACAUUUCUCCUCCUUAUACAGCCUCUGUUACAGGGGUGCUUGUUGGGGUAAGCCCGUCUGGUCCUAUCACAUCAUCCAACCCAGGAACUUGGAGGAUAGUUGUACCUCAUCGCCACUACCACCUGAUCCUGUUACUACCCAUGGGACAGGACUUCAGCAAAUGCAAACCAUACUCAAGGUCCAUCUGGCCACCCUGAUUUAUGUCACCAGAGCACUUCCCUCACUGUCCCCUGCCCAGCUGUUUGUCAACGUUUGUGCUAGACAUCUCCAGCUAUGCUAUUACUGUGUUUGGGGGCUCUGAAACUCUUUGUUUCCCUUGGAAUAAAAAUGUUACAGAAGAUGACAGACCCUAUUUUUCAGUGAGGAAAAUCCGCAUUGGCUUUACUAUUCAAUCAUGAAUCAUGAUAUUUGCAUUGGCAAUGUGCCUGUUGGUGUACAAGGCAAAUGUGAGGCAAAAUAGACCAUUUCUCCUUGAGCAGGAUUCAUAUUCAUUCAUCACCAGCAAGAAAUGCUCCUUCCCCCCAUAAGCCUGGUGACUGCCUGGCUUCUCCACAGUCACCCCUCCUUACUCACUCUGAGGGUACUACCUUAAGUGUGCCUGGCAGCAGUAAAAUCCAGUUGCUUUUUAACUUAAAUGUCUCAUAACUCACCUGUAAUGGAAACCCUACUGUUGUUCACAUGACCACUAAACCCAUCACUUUCCACAACAGCAACUGGAGCAAGUUUUAAUUUAUCCCAGCCCAGCCUUAGAAAGAAAAAGAAAACUUCUGAGAACAUUGUUGCUGAGGACCUCCUCAGGAAACCCAUCAAACCAGCCUGACGUUGAGGCUGCACACAGUGAAUUAGUUGCUCAUUAAUGACAAGGGGCUGGGGUGUGCUGUGGGGCACAGAUGCUUAUUCCUGUAGUUCCUUCAGCAGAUAGUGACAGUGAGAGCAAGUGGGUGGAGCAGCCAGAUAUUAAAGCUCUCCUGGGGAUCAGAUGAUGUCUUCUUCUGCUACUUCUCUGUCACGUGGCACUCUGAGGUGUCUCCUCUGGGUGGUGUGUGGCUGAGGACAGGAUGGAGGACACCCGCAUUUUGGAAGAUGCUCGUGAAAGGCUGAAUAAGGCUCCUCGGUAAUUCAGGAGACUGCCUAAAACUUGCCUGUGUGCUGGCACCUGAUGCCUGGAGAGAGCCUGUCUGCACAACACUGCCUCCUUUUUGCACUCAGCGGGUGUGAGUUGGCUGCUGAUGCUAAGGAUUAUUGCCGUUUAUUUUUGCUGGCUUGUAGCAAUUCACACCUCAUACCCAGAGUCCUUCAUCUUCUUUUUGGGGAAGAAGUGGCAGACCUGGGCAUCUGGCAAAGGUGUCUGGAAAUCAGGAGUUAAAUAAGUUGCCUUGUGUCACUGCCCUCAGCUUGUUUUACAUGAUUAGGACAAAAGUCCCCAUAGCUUUGGACGUAAUAAGGAAAAAAAAGGAAACAAGAGCCUCUGGAGGGUAGAAAUAUGAACUGGGUUAGUGCUUAAUUAAGUUGCCUAUUAACAGUUCUGUAGUGGCCUGGAAGAAUUUUAAUGUACCAAUUAAAGCAGGGAGCUAUCUCCUUGGCUUUCCACCACCUCUGGGGACGCUAUCAAGAACGAGGAGCUUGCAGAUCAAGUGCUGUUUAUUUUGCUCCUUCCAGUUUGUUAAAAAUUGUUCUAAAUUUGGGAUGUGGCAGAUGCCCACGGAUGUAUUUGCUUCCGCGAGGCAGUGGAGUGACGUCUGUCUGAUUAAAAUUAUCAUGGGAAAGAAAUGGGACCAUAACGCUGUCUGACCCCAUCAAACCCCUCCUGUUUUGCGCAGUUUCUCCGUGUUGCUGCAUGAGCAGGGGGUUGGUGGCCGUGGGGCAGCUGCACACCAGCAGUGGGGUGCAUUGGUUUGGCACAUACAGCCUGGACAGCUGGUGUGGGCUCACAGCGCAUGCUUGGAAGGGAUGUGCUGAGCUACCCUGCUUGUCUGCUGUCUGUGCUGUCACUGUGUCACUCCACCCUUCAGGAGCUUGCCUGGCUCCAUUGUAAGCUGCAGGGACACGGGGUCCCCCUCCAGGUGUGCCUCGUGAAAGGUGGUCAGAGAACAUGGAUGCUCUGAUGACUAGGAAUCUGAUUUGCAGCCAGAAGGUACUUAAGGCCAUUUUAGUGCCAUUUGCUCAAAAGGAUCUUUCUCCCCAUUUGUUUACCCUCCCAAACAUGCUGCUGAGGGGAGGUUGUACCUCCUGCCUUUGACCAUCCUGAACAAGCUGACCUUGUGCCAUUGCUGUGCCCAAGACCCUAUUCAUCCUUCUUGCUCCAGAAGGGCCUCAUGAGAGGACUUACUAGCAAAAUCAUAAGGGAUUUAUUCAUCACAUUCCUUGACAGCUGGAUUUUUGGAAGAAGAGGAAGAAAUUUAACCCCAGGGUUGAUGCUGCUCUCUCCUCUGCAGUGACAGGGGACUCGGCAAGCAUCCUUUGUUUCCAUUUGCAUUUGGAGCACAUCUUCUGAUAAACACCACCAUGUUCCUCUUGAGGUUUGAAUACAAAAUGACCUGGGGAAUUUCAGAUGAAGGUAGCAUUUGUUUGGAGUGCUACCACCUUCUAGGAGGGGAUUUAAGAAGCUUGGAGUGGUUGUGAGAAUAUCUCUGUUCAAAUCCAAACAGGCAGCUCGGAGCUAAGUUGGCUGUUUCCAUAACACUGUAAGGUAAACAUCAUGCGUUUGCCCCACAGCAAGCAGCAAGUCAGCAACACAAGCUCCUUCUUGGGCAGCAAGCAACAGGCAGGGGAAGCACUAAGCAUGAGUGCACUCAAUGGGCAACAGAGCUCUAAGACUGCAGUAAUACCUUCUGCUGGUGAUCUACACAGAGGUCUCCAAAGUCCUUGUCUCUGAUUUUCCAAACUGGGGACCCAGCUGGAACAUCCUUGCUGAUCCGUGUGCCUAUUCAAAAGACAACUGGAUUGAGGGACAGGGAGAGUGGUGGCACCUCUUCUCCACAGGAGUCAGGAUGAUGGGGCAGCUGCAUGUGUACGGGGAGUGGAUCCCAGGUCUGGGAUGCUGCAGGUGGCACAUGCUACACAGUCUCAUCUCUGCUACUUAGAUGAUGAUACAAAAUCUCGUCAGGAAGGAGGAUCACACAGCUGUUGGAAGUCACCAUCAGAAUCUCUUCACUGUGAUAGAUCACAGUUCUGAAGGCAAAGAUAUAGUAUGACAGGAGUCUGUCUCCUGGUCCUGAAAGGGGAACACAAGGAUGAAGCAACAAUUGCUCCUGCUCUCCUUUGCCAGCUGGGCUAUCCAUGAAGUAGCCUCUGGUCUCUGAUGUUGUAUGAAAACUUCAGGAUGUGAGCCAACAAUGGGGAGAUGAAGCUAAUGAAAG